UUUGGUUAAGUUAGAAAGGGCGCACGGUGGAUGCCUUGACACUAGGAGUCGAUGAAGGACGGGACUAACGCCGAUAUGCUUCGGGGAGCUGUAAGUAAGCUUUGAUCCGAAGAUUUCCGAAUGGGGAAACCCACCAUACGUAAUGGUAUGGUAUCCUUAUCUGAAUACAUAGGGUAAGGAAGACAGACCCAGGGAACUGAAACAUCUAAGUACCUGGAGGAAGAGAAAGCAAAUGCGAUUUCCUGAGUAGCGGCGAGCGAAACGGAACAUAGCCCAAACCAAGAGGCUUGCCUCUUGGGGUUGUAGGACAUUCUAUACGGAGUUACAAAGGAACGAGGUAGACGAAGCGACCUGGAAAGGUCCGUCGUAGAGGGUAACAACCCCGUAGUCGAAACUUCGUUCUCUCUUGAAUGUAUCCUGAGUACGGCGGAACACGUGAAAUUCCGUCGGAAUCUGGGAGGACCAUCUCCCAAGGCUAAAUACUCCCUAGUGAUCGAUAGUGAACCAGUACCGUGAGGGAAAGGUGAAAAGCACCCCGGAAGGGGAGGAAAGAGAUCCUGAAACCGUGUGCCUACAAAUAGUCAGAGCCCGUUAACGGGUGAUGGCGUGCCUUUGUAGAAUGAACCGGCGAGUUACGAUCCCGUGCGAGGUUAAGCUGAAGAGGCGGAGCCGCAGCGAAAGCGAGUCUGAAUAGGGCGUUUAGUACGUGGUCGUAGACCCGAAACCAGGUGAUCUACCCAUGUCCAGGGUGAAGUUCAGGUAACACUGAAUGGAGGCCCGAACCCACGCACGUUGAAAAGUGCGGGGAUGAGGUGUGGGUAGCGGAGAAAUUCCAAUCGAACCUGGAGAUAGCUGGUUCUCCCCGAAAUAGCUUUAGGGCUAGCCUUAAGUGUAAGAGUCUUGGAGGUAGAGCACUGAUUGGACUAGGGGUCCUCAUCGGAUUACCGAAUUCAGUCAAACUCCGAAUGCCAAUGACUUAUCCUUAGGAGUCAGACUGCGAGUGAUAAGAUCCGUAGUCAAAAGGGAAACAGCCCAGACCGCCAGCUAAGGUCCCAAAGUGUGUAUUAAGUGGAAAAGGAUGUGGAGUUGCUUAGACAACUAGGGAUGUUGGCUUAGAAGCAGCCACCAUUUAAAGAGUGCGUAAUAGCUCACUAGUCGAGUGACUCUGCGCCGAAAAUGUACCGGGGCUAAAUACACCACCGAAGCUGCGGAUUGAUACCAAUGGUAUCAGUGGUAGGGGAGCGUUCUAAGGACAGUGAAGUCAGACCGGAAGGACUGGUGGAGUGCUUAGAAGUGAGAAUGCCGGUAUGAGUAGCGAAAGACGGGUGAGAAUCCCGUCCACCGAAUGCCUAAGGUUUCCUGAGGAAGGCUCGUCCGCUCAGGGUUAGUCAGGACCUAAGCCGAGGCCGACAGGCGUAGGCGAUGGACAACAGGUUGAUAUUCCUGUACCACCUCUUUAUCGUUUGAGCAAUGGAGGGACGCAGAAGGAUAGAAGAAGCGUGCGAUUGGUUGUGCACGUCCAAGCAGUUAGGCUGAUAAGUAGGCAAAUCCGCUUAUCGUGAAGGCUGAGCUGUGAUGGGGAAGCUCCUUAUGGAGCGAAGUCUUUGAUUCCCCGCUGCCAAGAAAAGCUUCUAGCGAGAUAAAGGUGCCUGUACCGCAAACCGACACAGGUAGGCGAGGAGAGAAUCCUAAGGUGUGCGAGAGAACUCUGGUUAAGGAACUCGGCAAAAUGACCCCGUAACUUCGGGAGAAGGGGUGCUUUCUUAACGGAAAGCCGCAGUGAAUAGGCCCAAGCGACUGUUUAGCAAAAACACAGCUCUCUGCGAAGCCGUAAGGCGAAGUAUAGGGGGUGACACCUGCCCGGUGCUGGAAGGUUAAGGAGAGGGGUUAGCGUAAGCGAAGCUCUGAACUGAAGCCCCAGUAAACGGCGGCCGUAACUAUAACGGUCCCUAAGGUAGCGAAAUUCCUUGUCGGGUAAGUUCCGACCCGCACGAAAGGUGUAACGAUUUGGGCACUGUCUCAACCAGAGACUCGGUGAAAUUAUAGUACCUGUGAAGAUGCAGGUUACCCGCGACAGGACGGAAAGACCCCGUGGAGCUUUACUGUAGCCUGAUAUUGAAUUUUGGUACAGUUUGUACAGGAUAGGCGGGAGCCAUUGAAACCGGAGCGCUAGCUUCGGUGGAGGCGCUGGUGGGAUACCGCCCUGACUGUAUUGAAAUUCUAACCUACGGGUCUUAUCGACCCGGGAGACAGUGUCAGGUGGGCAGUUUGACUGGGGCGGUCGCCUCCUAAAGUGUAACGGAGGCGCCCAAAGGUUCCCCUCAGAAUGGUUGGAAAUCAUUCGUAGAGUGCAAAGGCAUAAGGGAGCUUGACUGCGAGACCUACAAGUCGAGCAGGGACGAAAGUCGGGCUUAGUGAUCCGGUGGUUCCGCAUGGAAGGGCCAUCGCUCAACGGAUAAAAGCUACCCCGGGGAUAACAGGCUUAUCUCCCCCAAGAGUCCACAUCGACGGGGAGGUUUGGCACCUCGAUGUCGGCUCAUCGCAUCCUGGGGCUGUAGUCGGUCCCAAGGGUUGGGCUGUUCGCCCAUUAAAGCGGUACGCGAGCUGGGUUCAGAACGUCGUGAGACAGUUCGGUCCCUAUCCGUCGUGGGCGUAGGAAAUUUGAGAGGAGCUGUCCUUAGUACGAGAGGACCGGGAUGGACGCACCGCUGGUGUACCAGUUGUUCUGCCAAGGGCAUAGCUGGGUAGCUAUGUGCGGAAGGGAUAAGUGCUGAAAGCAUCUAAGCAUGAAGCCCCCCUCAAGAUGAGAUUUCCCAUAGCGUAAGCUAGUAAGAUCCCUGAAAGAUGAUCAGGUUGAUAGGUUCGAGGUGGAAGCAUGGUGACAUGUGGAGCUGACGAAUACUAAUAGAUCGAGGACUUAACCAUAUAA
rnacentral:rRNA from 1 species